rnacentral:rRNA from 1 species
UGGGGAAUUUUGGACAAUGGGCGCAAGCCUGAUCCAGCGAUGCCGCGUGCAGGAUGAAGGCCUUCGGGUUGUAAACUGCUUUUGUCAGGGAAGAAACGAGUUUCUCUAAUACAGAGACUUAAUGACGGUACCUGAAGAAUAAGCACCGGCUAACUACGUGCCAGCAGCCGCGGUAAUACGUAGGGUGCAAGCGUUAAUCGGAAUUACUGGGCGUAAAGCGUGCGCAGGCGGUUAUGCAAGACAGAUGUGAAAUCCCCGGGCUCAACCUGGGAACUGCAUUUGUGACUGCAUAGCUGGAGUGCGGCAGAGGGGGAUGGAAUUCCGCGUGUAGCAGUGAAGUGCGUAGAUAUGCGGAGGAACACCGAUGGCGAAGGCAAUCCCCUGGGCCUGCACUGACGCUCAUGCACGAAAGCGUGGGGAGCAAACA